UUUCAGAGGGUUGUGUCAGCAUAAUGGGAUUAUAGCCCUGGAAACAGGGCACAUGUUUCCGGAUAUGGGAAACUACUGAAGAGCUGUGAGGAAGUCAUGAUGUGCUUUGCUAGCAAAGCACAGCAGUGGGCACGGAAGACGGCGUCCUCCCCACACACUACAUGUCAAUCAGAGAUACUCCAUGGAUCAGACGUGAGCUCCCAGGUAACCCGGAACCAUGUUUUCUCCCAUAAGACUGGAACAUGAGGAACAUAACUA